rnacentral:tRNA from 1 species
GGAGAUGUGGCCGAGUGGUUUAAGGCAGCAGUCUUGAAAACUGCCGUAGGGGUGACUCUACCGUGAGUUCGAAUCUCACCGUCUCCGCCA